CCGCUCCUUGUUCUUGCUCCCGUCUGUGAUGAUUUCUGCCUCCUUGUCACUGAAGCGCACGUGAUUGGUGCUCAGCCCCUGAGUGACGCUGGAGUGGACCAUUGCGGCCUCUUCCUCUCCCUCACUCAGCUCAAGAAUCACAGAUUGUAGAGCGGACGAGUCUUCUGAAGGCAGAGAGACCCAGAAGCGAAGGCGACAACGAUCUCCUGCCCACUCAAGAUGCGACUCAUUUGAAAGACGAGAUGCUUGGAUCAAAGAGCCAGCCUCACAGCUCGAAAAUGAAGAACAGCCACUCGCCUAAGCGGAAAACACAACAUUAAAAGACAAUAAUAACCCUAAA